GUCCACGCUGUAAACGAUGGGCACUAGGUGUCCGGGGUAUUGACCCCCUGGUGCCGCAGCUAACGCAUUAAGUGCCCCGCCUGGGGAGUACGGUCGCAAGAUUAAAACUCAAGGAAUUGACGGGGGCCCGCACAAGCGGUGGAGCAUGUGGUUCAAUUCGACGCAACGCGAAGAACCUUACCUGGGCUAGACAACGGCGGACCGUCCUAGAAAUAGGAUUUUCCCUCGGGGACUGCCGGUUCAGGUGCUGCAUGGCUGUCGU
rnacentral:rRNA from 1 species